rnacentral:rRNA from 1 species
UACCAGCACCCCGAGUGGUCGGAACGAUUAUUGGGCCUAAAGCAUCCGUAGCCGGCCUUACAAGUCCUCCGUUAAAUCCAGCUGCUUAACAGAUGGGCUGCGGAGGAUACUAUAAGACUAGGAGGCAGGAGAGGCAAGCGGUACUCAGUGGGUAGGGGUAAAAUCCGUUGAUCCGAUUGAAGACCACCAGUGGCGAAGGCGG